UGGGGAAUAUUGGGCAAUGGGCGCAAGCCUGACCCAGCAACGCCGCGUGAAGGAAGAAGGCUUUCGGGUUGUAAACUUCUUUUAACAGGGAAGAGCAGAAGACGGUACCUGUUGAAUAAGCCACGGCUAACUACGUGCCAGCAGCCGCGGUAAUACGUAGGUGGCAAGCGUUGUCCGGAUUUACUGGGUGUAAAGGGCGUGCAGCCGGGUUUAUAAGUCAGAUGUGAAAUCCCGCGGCUCAACCGCGGAACUGCAUUUGAAACUGUAGAUCUUGAGUACUGGAGAGGCAGGCGGAAUUCCUAG
rnacentral:rRNA from 1 species